rnacentral:rRNA from 1 species
AAAGCGGAAGCCGGGAAUGGAAAGCCCGGUGCAAGCGGGGUACCAGUCACUCUGGCAAAUCCGGGUGGCAAUGGGAAGCCGUGAUGCGGAGUGGAAUAAAGUAACGAAGUCCGUGAGCCAUGCGUCAAGAAAAGCCGCUAUUGUUUAUACCGUACCCGUACCGUAAACCGACACAGGUGGAUGAGGAGAGAAUCCUAAGGCCGGCGGAAGAAGCAUUGUCAAGGAACUCGGCAAAAUGGCCCCGUAACUUAGGGAUAAGGGGUGCCUGGGAAACCAGGCCGCAGAGAAUAGGCUCAAGCGACUGUUUAGCAAAAACACAGGUCUAUGCGAAACCGAAAGGUGAGGUAUAUGGGCUGACGCCUGCCCGGUGCUGGAAGGUUAAGAGGAGAGGUUAGCGCAAGCGAAGCUUUGAAUUUAAGCCCCAGUAAACGGCGGCCGUAACAAUAACGGUCCUAAGGUAGCGAAAUUCCUUGUCGGGUAAGUUCCGACCCGCACGAAAGGCGUAAUGAUUUGAGCGCUGUCUCGACAAUGCAUCCGGUGAAAUUGAAGUACCAGUGAAGAUGCUGGUUACCUGCGCCAGGACGGAAAGACCCCAUGGAGCUUUACUCCAGUUUGGUACUGGGACUCGGUAUUGCAUGUACAGGAUAGGUGGGAGGCUGAGAGACAGUAACGCCAGUUAUUGUGGAGCCGCUGUUGGGAUACCACCCUUGCAGUAUUGGGUUUCUAACCAGCCGCCGUGACCCGGCGGUGGGACAAUGCCAGACGGGGAGUUUGACUGGGGCGGUCGCCUCCGAAAGGGUAUCGGAGGCGCCCAAAGGUUCCCUCAGAAUGGACGGAAACCAUUCGAAGAGUGCAAAGGCAGAAGGGAGCUUGACUGCGACACCGACGGGUGGAGCAGGUACGAAAGUAGGGCUUAGUGAUCCGGUGGUAUUAAGUGGGAGUGCCAUCGCUCAACGGAUAAAAGCUACCCUGGGAUAACAUGCUUAUCACUCCCAAGAGUUCACAUCGACGGAGUGGUUUGGCACCUCGAUGUCGGCUCAUCGCAUCCUGGGGCUGUAGUAGGUCCCAAGGGUUGGGCUGUUCGCCCAUUAAAGCGGUACGCGAGCUGGGUUCAGAACGUCGUGAGACAGUUCGGUCCCUAUCCGGCGUGGGCGUAGGAUAUCUGAGAGGAGCUGUCCUUAGUACGAGAGGACCGGGAUGGACGGGCCGCUGGUGCAUCGGUUAGACUGCCAAGUCUACGGCCGAGUAGCCAAGCCCGGAAGGGAUAAACGCUGAAGGCAUCUAAGCGUGAAGCCCCCCUUAAGAUGAGAUAUCCCAUUCGAAAGAAGUAAACCCCCUUGAAGACGACGAGGUAGAUAGGGCAGAGGUGGAAGUGUGGCAACACAUGGAGCUGACUGUUACUAAUCGGGUGAGGGCUUGACCA